UACGUAGGGACCGAGCGUUGUCCGGAAUCAUUGGGCGUAAAGGGCGCGUAGGCGGCUUUAUAAGUCGGGGGUGAAAGCCUGUGGCUCAACCACAGAAUUGCCUUCGAUACUGUAGAGCUUGAGACCGGAAGAGGUAAGUGGAACUGCGAGUGUAGAGGUGAAAUUCGUAGAUAUUCGCAAGAACACCAGUGGCGAAGGCGGCUUACUGGUCCGGUUCUGACGCUGAGGCGCGAAAGCUAGGGGAGCGAACGGG
rnacentral:rRNA from 1 species